rnacentral:lncRNA from 1 species
GGAUUUCUUGCUUCCUAGGUUUUUACUAAAACUUAUCUCCUUGGUUUUCACUAAAAUUUAAGGUUACUAAGGAUAAGAAUUAUAAUUAAUAUAUAGUUAUUUAUACAAAGUUAUUUUUGAAACACACUAGUAAGGAACUAGGAAGUAGAGAAGAGAGAUGUGAAGAAAGUAAUAUAUAUGAAGACAUAUUUUUGGUAAGAAAAGUUGUAAAAAAGAUAAUAAUUUUAUAUGAGAAAAGAUGCCAUGUGGUUAAUUUUUUGACCUAAGGUUAAAUGACUGGUUAUUUAAAGGAGGAGGAAAUCUGAGACUGAACGGAAAACCCAGCCAUGUUGCAGAUUGUCUGGGGUGCUGUGGAUCAUUCCUGUAAUUCAGCACUUUGAGAGGCCUAGGUGGCUGGAUCACCAGAGGUCAGGGGUUCAAGACCAGCCUGCCCAAAUUGGUGAAACCCUGUUUUUACUAAAAAUACAAAAAAAUUAGCCAGGCAUGGUGGUGGAUACCUAUAAUUCCAGCUACUUGGGAGGCUGAGGCAGGAGAAUGGCUUGAACGCAGGAGGUGGAGGUUGCCAUGAGCUGAGCUUUCACCACUGCAC